rnacentral:rRNA from 1 species
UACGAAGGGGGCGAGCGUUGUUCGGAAUCAUUGGGCGUAAAGGGCGCGUAGGCGGGCUUGUAAGUCGAUUGUGAAAUCCCUGGGCUUAACCCGGGAAUUGCAGUCGAAACUGCAAGUCUUGAGUUCUCGAGAGGAUGGUGGAAUUCCUGGAGUAGUAGUGAAAUACGUAGAUAUUCGCAAGAACACCAGUGGCGAAGGCGGCUCACUGGCCCGUUACUGACGCUGAGGCACGGAAAGCGUGGGGAGCAAACA